UACGUAGGGUGCGAGCGUUGUCCGGAAUUAUUGGGCGUAAAGAGCUCGUAGGUGGUUUGGUUAGUCGGAUGUGAAAUCUCCAGGCUCAACCUGGAGGGGUCAUUCGAUACUGCCAUGACUAGAGGUCGGUAGGGGAGUGUGGAAUUCCUGGUGGAGCGGUGAAAUGCGCAGAUAUCAGGAGGAACACCCGUAGCGAAGGCGGCACUCUGGGCCGAUACUGGCACUGAGGAGCGAAAGCGUGGGGAGCGAACAGG
rnacentral:rRNA from 1 species